CCUCGCGGUGAGGCCACUCCGAAAUGCAAGUUCGGAGACNCGCCCCAACAGAGGCGCCGGGGCUU
rnacentral:tRNA from 1 species